GACGAACGCUGGCGGUACGCCUAACACAUGCAAGUCGAACGGGUAGCUUUGCUACCAGUGGCAGACGGGUGAGUAAUGCACAGGAAUCUACCCCAUGGUACAGGAUAGCUCAGGGAAACUUGGAUUAAUACUGUAUAAUGUCGAGAGAUGAAAGCCGUAAGGCGCCAAGGGAUGAGCCUGUGUCCGAUUAGCUAGUUGGUAGGGUAAAAGCCUACCAAGGCCACGAUCGGUAGCUGGUUUGAGAGGAUGAUCAGCCACAGUGGAACUGAGACACGGUCCACACUCCUACGGGAGGCAGCAGUGGGGAAUUUUCCGCAAUGGGCGAAAGCCUGACGGAGCGAUACCGCGUGCAGGAAGAAGGCCUUAGGGUUGUAAACUGCUGUCUGCAGGGAAGAAAAAAAUGACGGUACCUGCAAAGAAAGCACCGGCUAACUCUGUGCCAGCCGCCGCCGUAAAAC
rnacentral:rRNA from 1 species